CAAAGUUCUAUUUUUAGACAUGGUGGUCAUCUUGAUUAUUGGGCGGGGUCAUCGGAUAUUUUUUUGAAACUAGAUACCUUAAGGAUGAUUGUGCCAGUAGUUUCAGAGGAGAAUAUUUUUGUAAAAUUGUCGUCGACGACGGAUGCCUAGAGUGAUGAGUAAAUCUCAGUUAGUCCUCUGGGCCAGGUGUGCUAAAACAGCAAAACGGACAAAAAGCAACAGACAAAAAGCAAAAGUGUCGGACAAAAAGCAAAAUUAUCGGACAAAAAGCGAAACGGACAAAAAGCAACGGACAAAAAGCAAAAGUGUCGGACAAAAAGCAAAAUUCUCGGACAAAAAGCAAAACGGACAAAAAGCAACGGACAAAGAGCAAAAGUGUCGGGGAAAAAAGCAAAAUUAUCGGACAAAAAGCAAAAGCGGAC
rnacentral:lncRNA from 1 species